AUCAGUGCAUUUGUUUAUUGAGUCAGUCAAGUGUCUGUGUCGGUCCCUGUAUUCUCAGUCCCAGCCUCAGAUUUGGAUUCAAAUACUUUGGUUUGGCGCCAGGAAGCUAGCAAACAUAUUCAGAGGAAAAACAAGCUUAGGGAAGUUGUUUAGAAAUUGCUUCCAAAUUAGCGCUGCGUUGUGCAUUCGGGAAAAGGAGCCUGGAGUGUUCGGUGUGUGAUGCAGAUACCGAAAUAAGCACAAGCAGUCUGUUUGUAGCAUCGGCUGCAUUGCAGAAGUGAAUGUCGUGGUUUAUGUACUUCGGAGAAAAGUUUAUUUAUUUAAAGAACCUCGGAAAAACAACAAUGGGUCGAACCAUCUGGAUUCACAAGGACCAAAAAGGUAGAUCUACGAACUAGGAGGUGAUGUGGGACGCUGGGACCCAUAAGUCGCUGUGUUCAGCUGUAAAGAAGACAGAGACCCUGCUGUACCAGGCCCUCAUCAAUGAUGACACCUCUGCACAAUGAGUUGUUGAUCUCUUCAGAGAUGUCAGGAAACUGAAGCUGGAGAAAACAUCCUGGUGACGCAAACGAGACCAUGAGGAGGCUGCUACAGAUGUCCACACCAACCUCUUGGGUCCUGGGCAUUGAGGCUGACUUGAGAUCUUGAAGGGACUGUUCCAGCAGAAGUUCAGUCAGCUUUACAUGAGCCCACCUUCACCCUGGAUGAGAUGACCGCAUUAACUGAACUGUAACCUUUCCUGUGGACUUUUUUUUUCUUCUUUAAGUUAGUGUUUCUUGACUUUGUUUGAAUUUUGGAACUUUAUUACAAGACUGCCUCAUUUUUUUUUCCAUAGUUAAACGGUGGAAGUACUGGGGCAGGCUUAGUGGUUAGAUUGAGUGAUUCCCCAUAUGCAUUAAGUUGUGGUGUUUCAAAAUCAUCACCGCCAAGAUUUUAAUAACUUUAUUUUACUUUAGGGUUAAAUUUCUGAGUUGUCUCGCUCUGCCAAGUUUCAAGGGGGUGACUCGCGCUUCAGGUAGGCCUGGGGAGGGAAAGCUUUGUGUUUCGUGUGCUUAUUAGAUUUUCUGUAUGUGGGAGGCCUCCCAGCAGGGGAAUUUAUCCUGCCCCUGUAACGUAUUAUCGCUGUUGUGGGGAUACGUUCAGCAGUUUCAUAGUAAGGUGGUCUUGUUAGAGCUCUGUUGCAUGGUAGCUGCAAUACCAACCGGGAGUGUGUUGUAGGUUCUUGGGAGGGAGGAAGCCUGGCAGAGACAGAUGGUUCAGACUCUAAAUAAACUCUGAGACACUCGGUGUAGUUGCCUUGUUUUUUAUGAGGUGAUGAUUAUGAAAACUCUACACUAACCCAAACUGGUUGAGGCAGAAGGCCGCCUACCUUGAGUCGAGGUCUGUCGGAGUUUUUCUUCCACUAAAGGGAGUUUUUCCUCUCCACUGUCAUCAAGUGCUUGCUCAAGGGAGAUUUGUUGGGGUUUUCUUUAUACUGAUGCUGAGAUGACUUGUUGUGAUUUAGGUUGACACCAUGUAGAAUUAUUUUUCCAGCCAGGCUGUCACCUGUGCAGAGGCAUAGAAAUGUGAACUACUGUCAAAGAAGCAUCAGGUUUUUCUUAAGCACACUUUGUGUAAAAUCUUAAUUCAUGAAACUUAUAACUGAAAUAAAUGUAUAAUGAAAACUACAUGAACCAGAAGCAUGUUUCUGCAGAUUGUUAUUGAUGGACGGGGUUGAAGCUGAGGUCAGUGGUUCAGACUCUGGAGUUGAUGUUCAGGGUUCUUCUCUUCAGCACCAAGUACAGUGCAUGUUGUUGUGCUUUAUAAGCUUGUGUCUUUUUCUGAUAAGUGACCAAACUCCCUUUAAAAAUCCAGCAGGUUAUUUUUGCUUUUAUAAGAACAAACAUAACAUUCAAUAUACUGUAUAACUCAAGCUGUACUAACUUAAAUAUAAUAUCUUGUGGUUAAGUCGUAGCAGUAAUGCAUUAAGUUGGGUUUACUACAAUAAACAUCUGAGUUUAGGCUGCUGCUAGCUGUUGUGCCGCUUCGUUGGUCACGUGUAACAUUGACCUGUAUACAAAAUCCCCAAACUCUGCAAAAAUGUGGUAGUGUCUUUGUUAGAAACUAACAUGCAUCAUGAAACUAAUAAUUUCUUGAAUGUUAACUUCUGGUAAUUUAGCCUCAAGUAGAAAAACCUUGUUACUAAAUAUAAUCUUUAACAUUGGGUUCCUGCUGCUUUGUCAUCUGUUUAAGAUUGAUU